rnacentral:rRNA from 1 species
GGGGAUUAGUGGCGAACGGGUGAGUAACACGUGAGUAACCUGCCCUUGACUCUGGGAUAAGCCUGGGAAACUGGGUCUAAUACCGGAUAUGACUCCUCAUCGCAUGGUGGGGGGUGGAAAGCUUUUUGUGGUUUUGGAUGGACUCGCGGCCUAUCAGCUUGUUGGUGAGGUAAUGGCUCACCAAGGCGACGACGGGUAGCCGGCCUGAGAGGGUGACCGGCCACACUGGGACUGAGACACGGCCCAGACUCCUACGGGAGGCAGCAGUGGGGAAUAUUGCACAAUGGGCGAAAGCCUGAUGCAGCGACGCCGCGUGAGGGAUGACGGCCUUCGGGUUGUAAACCUCUUUCAGUAGGGAAGAAGCGAAAGUGACGGUACCUGCAGAAGAAGCGCCGGCUAACUACGUGCCAGCAGCCGCGGUAAUACGUAGGGCGCAAGCGUUAUCCGGAAUUAUUGGGCGUAAAGAGCUCGUAGGCGGUUUGUCGCGUCUGCCGUGAAAGUCCGGGGCUCAACUCCGGAUCUGCGGUGGGUACGGGCAGACUAGAGUGAUGUAGGGGAGACUGGAAUUCCUGGUGUAGCGGUGAAAUGCGCAGAUAUCAGGAGGAACACCGAUGGCGAAGGCAGGUCUCUGGGCAUUAACUGACGCUGAGGAGCGAAAGCAUGGGGAGCGAACAGGAUUAGAUACCCUGGUAGUCCAUGCCGUAAACGUUGGGCACUAGGUGUGGGGGACAUUCCACGUUUUCCGCGCCGUAGCUAACGCAUUAAGUGCCCCGCCUGGGGAGUACGGCCGCAAGGCUAAAACUCAAGGAAUUGACGGGGGCCGCACAAGCGGCGGAGCAUGCGGAUUAUUCGAUGCACGCGAAGAACCUUACCAGGCUUG